rnacentral:rRNA from 1 species
AUUGAACGCUGGCGGCAUGCCUUACACAUGCAAGUCGAACGGUAACAGGUUAAGCUGACGAGUGGCGAACGGGUGAGUAAUAUAUCGGAACGUGCCCAGUCGUGGGGGAUAACUGCUCGAAAGAGCAGCUAAUACCGCAUACGACCUGAGGGUGAAAGCGGGGGAUCGCAAGACCUCGCGCGAUUGGAGCGGCCGAUAUCAGAUUAGGUAGUUGGUGGGGUAAAAACCGACCAAGCCAACGAUCUGUAGCUGGUCUGAGAGGACGACCAGCCACACUGGGACUGAGACACGGCCCAGACUCCGACGGGAGGCAGCAGUGGGGAAAUUGGGACAAUGGACGCAAGUCUGAUCCAGCCAUGCCGCGUGCGGGAAGAAGGCCUUCGGGUUGUAAACCGCUUUUGUCAGGGGAGAAAAGGUUCUGGUUAAUACCUGGGACUCAUGACGGUACCUGAAGAAUAAGCACCGGCUAACUACGUGCCAGCCGCCGCCGUAAUAC